rnacentral:ncRNA from 1 species
AAAAAGUUAAAUUUUGGCUUAGAAAUUCAAUAGAUUAUUAUUUUACAUGUAAAUUUUUUUUAAAUAUAAUUUUAUCAGUAAAUAAUUUUAUAAAAUUAAUAAUUUAAUUUUAGUAAUUAAUUUUAUAUUUAAUAAAAUUUGUGCCAGCAAUUGCGGUUAUACAAAUAAAUUAAUUGAAUAUUUUUAGUUGUAAUAAGUUAUUUUUGGGUAUGAAAAUUAAAAUUUUGAGGUGAAAUAAAAAUUUUAAUAAUUAUUUUUAUUUAAUGAAUUAAUAAAGUUUAAUUUAAACUAGGAUUAGAUACCCUAUUAUUAAAACUUUAAUUUAUAAAAUCUUGAUUAGUAAUAGCUAUGUUCUUGAAAAUUAAAAAAUUUGGCGGUAUUUUAGUCAAUUCAGAGGAACCUGUCCUAUAAUUGAUAGUCCACGAUAAAAUUAACUUAUUUUUUUAAUUUGUAUAUCGUUGUUUAGAAUUUCUUUUUUGAGAUAAUUUUCAAUUGUUUUUAAUAAAAUAAAUUUCAGAUCAAGGUGCAGUUUAUAAAUAAGAAUUGAUGGGUUACAAUAAAAUUAUAUUUGGUUAUUUGGUUUGAAUUCUGGAUAUAAAUUGGAUUUGAUUGUAAUUAAAAAAAUUUUUUUUUAAUGAUCAUUGUUCUGAAAUAUGUACAUAUUGCCCGUCGCUCUCAUAGAAUUUGAGAUAAGUCGUAACAAAGUAGAUGUACUGGAAAGUGUAUCUAGAAAUAU